UACGACCAUAUCACAGUGAGACACCGGUUCCCGUAUGAUCACCGAAUUUAAGCCACCUCGAGCUUUGUCAGUACCUAGAUGGGUGAUCGCUUGGCAAUAUCAGAUGUUGUAAG